rnacentral:rRNA from 1 species
UCUACGGGUGGCAGCAGUGAGGAAUAUUGGUCAAUGGGCGGGAGCCUGAACCAGCCAAGUCGCGUGAGGGACGACGGUCCUAUGGAUUGUAAACCUCUUUUGUCGGGGAACAAAGGCGUCCCCGGGUGGGCGGAUGAUUGUACCCGAAGAAAAAGCAUCGGCUAACUCCGUGCCAGCCGCCGCGGUAAUACGGAGGAUGCGAGCGUUAUCCGGAUUUAUUGGGUUUAACGGGUGCGUAGGCGGACGAUGAAGUCAGCGGUAAAAUUGCGGUGCUCAACCCCUUCCAGGCGGUGAAACUGGUAGUCUUGAGUGGGCGAGAAGUAUGCGGAAUGCGUGGUGUAGCGGUGAAAUGCAUAGAUAUCACGCAGAACUCCGAUUGCGAAGGCAGCAUACCGGCGCUCUACUGACGCUGAGGCACGAAAGCGUGGGUAUCGAACAGGAUUAGAUACCCGUGUAGUC